GAACUCGUAAGAUGUGUAAUCUUUUUUAUGCUUUGGUUACAUCUCACUGGUAUGCAAAUCCCACUUCAGAUUAUUCUGGAUCGUUAAACCUAAUACUUUGUGGGAUUCUAGUCUUUCAAGACUAAUGUUUUCAACAACUAAGGUGGGUGGUGGCUGCUCAAUAUCUCGUCGAAAGGAGACGAUCAUCUCUUUACACUUUUUG